UGUUACCAUGACGACAGUUACAACAAACUUCAACGAGCAAAUAAGUUUCGGUUUCUGCGGGCAAAACUUAUUUUAUUUUUCCUUUGUGUUAAAAAAAAGGAAGUGAAAAAUGAUUCCUACAUCCGAUUCUCUUCUGAAAUACAAUAAUCCGAUGUUGAUCAAGAAUUCAGAGACUAAAUCUCCAAAGCAGCCAUCAGACUUCAAACCAACUACUCCACCUUCUAAAUCAAAACCUGCAACGAGUGAAGACAAUAAUGAAACCAAGCAGGUCCUGGAAGCCAUUUUUCCACCCAGGGAAUGGAUGGACGAAAACCAGCU